rnacentral:rRNA from 1 species
UACAGAGGUCUCGAGCGUUAGGCGGAAUCACUGGGCUUAAAGCGUGUGUAGGCGGACUGGUAAGUACCUUGUGAAAUCCCACGGCUCAACCGUGGAACUGCUUGGUAUACUGCUUGUCUUGUGUAACCUAGGGGCGAGCGGAACAGAUGGUGGAGCGGUGAAAUGCGUAGAUAUCAUCUGGAACGCCAAUGGUGAAAACAGCUCGCUGGGGGUUUGCAGACGCUGAGACACGAAAGCCAGGGGAGCAAACGGG